CAGAGGGUGCAAACGUUGUUCGGAAUUACUGGGCGUAAAGCGCGUGUAGGCGGCAUGACAAGUCGGAUGUGAAAGCCCUGGGCUCAACCCAGGAAGUGCACUCGAUACUGCCGUGCUGGAGUCUCGGAGAGGGUGGUGGAACUCUCGGUGUAGAGGUGAAAUUCGUAGAUAUCGAGAAGAACACCGGCGGCGAAGGCGGCCACCUGGACGAUGACUGACGCUGAGACGCGAAAGCGUGGGGAGCAAACAGGAUUAGAUACCCUGGUAGUCCACGCCGUAAACGAUGGGUGCUAGGUGUCACGGGUAUUGACCCCUGUGGCGCCGUAGCUAACGCAUUAAGCACCCCGCCUGGGAAGUACGGCCGCAAGGCUA
rnacentral:rRNA from 1 species